rnacentral:rRNA from 1 species
AAAUAGAUACCCCGGUAGUCCACGCCGUAAACGAUGACGUGCUAAGUGUUAGGGGGUUUCCGCCCCUUAGUGCUGCAGCUAACGCAUUAAGCACUCCGCCUGGGGAGUACGGUCGCAAGACUGAAACUCAAAGGAAUUGACGGGGGCCCGCACAAGCGGUGGAGCAUGUGGUUUAAUUCGAAGCAACGCGAAGAACCUUACCAGGUCUUGACAUCCCGCUGACCGGCCUAGAGAUAGGCUUUUCCCUUCGGGGACAGCGGUGACAGGUGGUGCAUGGUUGUCGUCAGCUCGUGUCGUGAGAUGUUGGGUUAAGUCCCGCAACGAGCGCAACCCUUGAUCUUAGUUGCCAGCAUUCAGUUGGGCACUCUAAGGUGACUGCCGGUGAUAAACCGGAGGAAGGUGGGGAUGACGUCAAAUCAUCAUGCCCCUUAUGACCUGGGCUACACACGUGCUACAAUGGACGGUACAGAGGGUCGCAACCCCGGCGAGGGUGAGCUAAUCCCAUAAAACCCGGUUCUCAGUUCGGAUUGUAGGCUGCAACUCGCCUAAC